rnacentral:rRNA from 1 species
UGCGUAGGCGGUUCCGGUAAGUUGGGUGUGAAAUCCCACCGGCUCAACCGUGGAAUAGCGCUCAAAACUGUCGGACUUGAGGGAGAUAGAGGUGAGCGGAACUUAGGGUGGAGCGGUGAAAUGCGUUGAUAUCCUAAGGAACACCGGUGGCGAAAGCGGCUCACUGGGUCUCUUCUGACGCUGAGGCACGAAAGCUAGGGGAGCGAACGGGAUUAGAUACCCCGGUAGUCCUAGCCGUAAACGAUGAGCACUAGAUCGAAGGGUCCUCCAUAGCCCUUUGGUCGUAGCGAAAGUGUUAAGUGCUCCGCCUGGGGAGUAUGGUCGCAAGGCUGAA